GAUUGAAUAGUCUAAAAAGGAUAUUAAAUUGCAAAUUUAAAGAUGAAAUUUUUCUUCAGUUU
rnacentral:tRNA from 1 species